UACGUAGGGUGCGAGCGUUAAUCGGAAUUACUGGGCGUAAAGCGUGCGCAGGCGGUUUUGUAAGACAGAUGUGAAAUCCCCGGGCUUAACCUGGGAAUGGCAUUUGGGACUGCAAGGCUUGAGUGCGGCAGAGGAGACUGGAAUUCCCGGUGUAGCAGUGAAAUGCGUGGAUAUCGGGAGGAAUACCGAUGGCGAAGGCAGGUCUCUGGGCUGACACUGACGCUCAUGCACGAAAGCGUGGGGAGCAAACAGG
rnacentral:rRNA from 1 species